rnacentral:snRNA from 1 species
AGCUUUGCCCCGUGGUAGUAUCAUAGCCAAAGAGGUUUAUCCGAGGCGCAAUUAUUGCUAAUUGAAAACUUUUCCGAAAGUACAAAAUAUACCAAUUUAUUUGAAUUUAACAGAGUAA